CAGCACCUCAAGUGGUCAGGAUGAUUAUUGGGCCUAAAGCAUCCGUAGCCGGCGCUGUAAGUUUUCGGUUAAAUCUGUACGCUCAACGUACAGGCUGCCGGGAAUACUGCAGCGCUAGGGAGUGGGAGAGGUAGACGGUACUCGGUAGGAAGGGGUAAAAUCCUUUGAUCUAUUGAUGACCACCUGUGGCGAAGGCGGUCUACCAGAACACGUCCGACGGUGAGGGAUGAAAGCUGGGGUAGCAAACCGGAUUAGAUACCCGAGUAGUCC
rnacentral:rRNA from 1 species